GCUCUUUCAACAGUGUGGGUUGCCAACCCUGAGUCACUACGAGAUGUAAGUCGUACUAUUGCUACGAGAAAAAAAGUCGCAUUAUUACAUAGGGUAACGUAGCUGUAAUCAGCUACGCAUUUUACAUACAUGUACCGCAGCUGAGAGCUAUAACAUUAGCCUAGCUAAUGAAAUAUUUCAAAUAUAUCUUUGUUAUGGUUCUUCUUGGGGGAAAAAAAUGAGAAAAAAAAAAAAAAAUUCGCAGUGGCACGACAUGGUGAGGCUGUCCGACUCCGAUGCAGCCCACCACCACAGUUUCAAAAAAUCCUAUGGGAAACACUGCAGAUAGGAAUAUUAUUUUUGUUGUGCUUUACUAAACUUAUGUUUGUUGUGAAAGAGUUGCCGAAGCUUAUGCAAAUAAACGGCGCGGUCCAAUAAACGCCUGUGUCCACUCACCUUUCUCUGCCUCUUAGCUCUCAAUGUGCAAAAAAACAUUCUGUUUGAGGCAAUGUAUGAGCGGGUCAUUCCGAACAUGUGUUAAAUGCACCAAACAUUUUAACGUGAUGAAUUAAAAAAAUUAAUUACCUCGCGUUAACACAAUAAAUUUGACAGCACUAAUGGUAAUGCGAAUAGAAUCUAAGAACAUACAUUCGUUUUAAAGCUGCUGCUAAAGUUCUUUUGAAGAGUUUGAGCUCAAAAGUGCCUAAAUUUAUUUAUUGUCAAUAUUUGUAUAUAAUAAUUACUUUAUUUCAAAUUGACAUUAUAUUUUCAUGUCUGCCCACUACAUUCUGUAUUUCAAGUUCCAAAACCCUUCUAGAGCAUGUUUGUUUUUUUAUUGUCAGAAAUAACAUAUAUUUUCAUUUUGAAAUGAUUUUUUGAAUGAAGUCUGUUAUAGUGCGAAAAGUAUUUAUCCAUAUUGAUGAAGUUGUGCUGAAGAAAAAAAAAAAAAAAAAAAACAAUACCAAGCAACGGCAUUUUAAACAUUUUUUUUGUUUUUUUGCGUGGUGUAGGUAGGAAAAAACAAAAAGUAUUUAAAAAACGGCCAAAAAAGGACAGGGCUUUUAGGUGCUAAUGGGGUUAAAAGGUUAAUUAUUUUUCUUUAUUUCAUGUGCAUUUUAUAAACGUAUUGGGCUGAAGACCCACAUUCCAUAGAAUGCAAUUGACAGUGAUUUGCAUCAAAUCUAUGUGAACUGGGAUGGCAGGCAUUGAGUGAUUGUGCUUCAGUGCCAUUGACGGCAAGAGACAUCCGAUCAAAUGAUUGCUGUUAGCCCUCCCGUUCGAAACGGAUUGGAUGUCCAGCACCGUCCAGUGGGGCAUCAUAGUAAAAUUUGCCAUAAUAGCCUUCAUGUUGUGUCGUAAAUAUGGAUUUUAUUAUGACACCCGAGUUUCUCAGAUGGGUGGACGUUUUAAUAUUCAAAAUGGCGGCGUGUGAACAAGAAGUUGUGAAUGUUAAAAGACUAUAUAUUUUUUCCAAUAGAUUUAUCAUUCAUUUUCACUUUUAUUUUAUUUUUUACGCCAGCACAAUAACAUAGUUUACAUAAGCUAUGUCCUUCCAAGUUUUCCCGCUACCCCAAUGGACCUAUCGUAAAACCACACCCCCAAAUCCGAAAAGUCGGACAUCUAGCCAUAUAUUUGCAUAGGGACGCUAUUAGGUCGUCACUUAAAGCAUAAUUUUCCCCCAACUUAAAAAUAGCAAAAACCUGAUGGUUUAAUACUGUGCGUGGGGUACCUGUAUACCCGACACCAGGUACACUGAAAGAUUGAAAAUGCACAAAAAAUCCGCCCAACGCCAAAAACACCAAAUGCACGCUAUAGUGAGCUAACUCUGUCAUUAACCACAUAAACAACUGAAUGUCAAGACAGUCACCCAAGGACACUAAUGCUUGGUCAAAGUUAAGUUAAUGAUAGAUUUGUAAAAAAAUAUAUAUUUUUGAAGCAUGUAGUAAAAACAUAGACUUAAAGGGGAACUGAAGAGCUUUUCAGAUUUCGCUCUUAAGUGUUUUACUCAGUUGAAUUGUAUUAAAUGCGUCAUUCGCUCUCUCAAAAAGUCACAUAAAAAAAAUAAAUAAAUAAUUGACCGCGUAGUUUUUGAGUUAUGGCCAUAGCAACACCAUAGCAACGAGGGACGCGCCGUCCUGCUGACCCCUACCUCGUGACGUAACUUCCAGGAAGCCUCGCCACCACUCUGAACACGGAAAUAUAGCACCACGCUAUCCUCGCCAUAUAUUGCAAACAUUUUCUGGGUUUUACUCGCGGGAUUCGUCAUGCCAUCUCGAUGUGUAGCGAUAUGAAUUACUCACAGGAAGACUCGAGACUCUAGGAGUGGUCCAAAAAAAAACUUCUCCUGCAAAGCCACGACAGAUUUGAAAACCUUCAACAAUGCAACCUUGGUUUUCCAAAGACGAAGCCAAACAUAAAAAAUUAAGUGGCGGAAACCCUCAACACGAUGAAAAAAGCGUUGCAAGUCAGUUGCCACCCAGUUUCCCAAAAUCAAGAGAGUGUGGGUCGAGUCAUAUGAUGACCGAAGUGAUGCGGUGUCCAGCGAUGACGACUGAAGAGAUCCUAUGAGGCCUGCCAGAUGCUGAAUUUCUUCCGUCUGCGACAUCAGAUGACGAUGAUUUAGGAGAAAUAAAUGUAGCAAAUUUUGAUGACAUGAAAUCAUAAACUAGUCAUAUAUACAGUACACAUUUUUUAAAAUCAAGUUACCUUCAUAUUUUAAUGAUAAUGCAUUAUCUUUGUAUAGAGAACACUUCAUGCUACAGAAAAGAGUAAAUACAUAUUUCCCACUGCCAUUAUCAUUUUUCAAUGUUGCGCUAGUCCGUUGCUAUCCUAACUUUGUGUUGCUUACUAAAAUUAUGCUCUUUGAUGUGUGCCGUUGUGUGCUUGGUAUAACAUGUUGUGUCACAAUCUGACAACGAAAGCUAAUGCAGAUUCAACAUAAACCUGGUAUCAUUUAUUAUUGCGGCCUAUUGAAUAUUUUUUCAGAAUGUAAUAUAAUUACAAUAUAUUAUAUACCAAUAGAAUACAUUAAACAGUCAACAAAAUGUGUCAAUGUUGUUAACAAUUUAUGGUUAUAUUUUUUUAAUGAAAUUCAUGCCCCUGUCAGUGCUUCAGCCUCCGCAAGUUUGGCUCUCACGUCUGGGAUCUCCUGAUGACACAGGCAUACUCUUGGAAGGGUAAUUACUUGAUGGUUUACAGCAACACCUGGAAAAUAAAAUGGUUUUGUCAUUUAUUUUGAAAUAUCAAUAACAUAUCAUUCAUUUAGCCACAUUUGGGCUAGCUUUAUCAUAUUUAGAUCGGUAGGAGCUGUCCCAUUACCUAAAAUCCAGUUUUAGCUAUCUGUAGAGCAUUCAUUUAGCCACAUUUGGGCUAGCUUUAUCAUAUUUAGAUCGGUAGGAGCUGUCCCAUUACCUA